AGAUCAAGUUAAAUUCUUGUAAUACCCAAUAAACGUUUUUUUCAACAAUAUCGACAACAAUACCAAUCCAAGUGUAAUACUUGAAACCAAGUCAUUAAAACUACAUUAGAAAUAUGGUACACCUUAUUAAGAGCUGAAAAGACCAGAAAAUGAAGAAAAUAAGGAUCAAAAUAAAUUCAAUUGUACACCAUCCAGCCACUUAAGUGUAGGCAGAACCCUAACCAGAAAUAAGGUAAAAUUUUCAUCAGCAAUGGCAUUCCCCACCACAUCCAAUUGUGUCAAGUUCAAGCCUUUCAACACAAAAAAGGCUUCCCAAUAAUUUGUCAUGCUGACCCCAUCAACCAAAAUUCUAUCUUGCUCCCAUUCAUUUCCAAUCGAAUUAGACAAAGGAGAUGAACACAGAUAUCUGGUUGUGUCAAUAGAGCGUGCACCUAUCUCAUUGUAUGAAAUAUCCAGCGAUUUCAAUGACUUCAGCUGUCUCAAUGGCUCCAAUGCAGUAAAACUAGAGAGUUUAUUCUCACUCAAACUCAAAUGAAUCAGUAGCUGCAGAGCCUCCAAUCCUGGCCCGCAAUCAAGAACACAAGGAAACUUAGUAGGUAUUAUAACAAUUGUAUUAUAAAGUGAAGAGUUUUAUCCUUUCCCUAUGUAAAAGACUAGAGAGAGAGAGUUCAAUUGGGUUCAUUACAAUUGUUCGGAGAAAGGAAUUCUCUUACUGGAAACCUGUGCUGCUAAAAUCCAAUAUAUUAAAUGAAAACAUAAUAUUUUUGAAGAAGAUAUUAAGAAUCACAAUGAAGGGUUUGAAUUCAUAACAUCCAUACAAGCAGUCAAGACAGAAGGAACAAUUAAAGAGUCUCAAUUGUGAAAGAAGUUUACCUUCAAUUGAUUGAAGUUCAUUAUGACUCAGGUCUAGCAUUUGGACCCACAAUAAUUUAGCAAAAGAUCCUAUUCGAGAUAAUGAUAAUUUAUUAAGUCGUAAACACAUAGGAUAGCCACGGCUUGAUGAAGUCAAAUCCCUAUAAUGGAAGCAGCGGCUUAGCAGAGAUUCCCUACUAGACAUAACCUGUUGCAAUAAAACCACGCUAUGUUCAUUUUUGUAGUACUGAUAAUGUGGUGGAUCCAACUUCAUUAGGUCAAUAUACAGUCCAAGAAUUUCUUGAGAAUGGACCAAUUUGCCAGAAGACAUUAAUGCGUCAUAAGCAGUCAACAGUCUUGCCAGUGUAAGUUUUCCAAUUUUACAGUCUGACAACAUACAGAAGUGUUUCAUCUCUUCCUCUAUAAUUUUUACUUGCCAGGCAUUAGCCACUGGCUCGUGUUCAUUUUUUAAACAUAGCUGGUGAAACCAAGCAACUAGAUUUGAUUCCACAAAAUGAGGCUCACAAAGAUAAAAGUUUUCAUCUGUCCAUGAAAUCUUCUCUACGCCUGACCCUUCUUUAAGUUCUUUUUUGACAGGUUGUACACGCACAGUAAAUACAAAAUGCGAAGACUGGCUAUAAUGAAAACCACUAGAAGAAAUGAUUCCUUGACAAUGUCCAACAGUAAUCUCCACAGGAUAAGCUUCUAAAGAAUGGAGAUCUGCAUUGGGAAAACUCAACUGUGUAAUCCAAGCUUGGGCAGCCCUAGACUUAUAUGUUGAAAGAGGUUUCCAAACAAGACCCUGAUUCAAGUUAGAUCCAUAUUCAACGUUGACUGUAGAUGAGUUUACACCUUCAACAGCCUGACUAAAGUAAAGAAUCAGUGGAAAUGUUCCUGAAUCAAAUUGGAAUAUAUUGAAUGGAGAAGAAGAAGCAUCCAGGCAUCUGUCUUGAAAAAGAAUGAGAUCAGAGCCAUGAGCAGGCCAUGAAGAAACCAGCAGAGGAGACUUAGCUUUAACAGUUUGGUCAAGAAGCCAAAGAUGAUAAAACCAACCACUUUGAUCAUCUUCAUCUGUAAAAAGAGCUUCACGUACUAAUUCAUACUCCUUGGUUAAAACCUCAUCUUUUUCAGUAAAACCUUCUACAUUUUUCUUCAUCAAAUUAGACAAAAGGACACUGCAAAAGCUUAUCAUCAACAUAACAAUAUUAAUAGAAGUGCCCAGCAAAGUAUGAAACAUAAAGCAUAAGUUAUUCUGCUUACAUAAAGCAUCAUUAGUCACCUUUAGUUUCAAUAACUGAACCAAUUUCAGAAAAAUUGUAGGUUACAAAAGGAGGGGAAAAAAAAAAACCCGCACCUACGAUUGUGCCAACCAGAAUAAUUACUGAUAUUCUUAUUAAUUAGAUCUGGGUGUACUCUAAUUCAUCAACUUCUGAUCUGUUCAUCAAUGCUGCCAUGAAUCUAGACAGCACUAACGAUUUAAAUAAGAGCAUUGAAUAUGCAGUUAUGCCUGCCUUCAGGCAUCUAAUUUUAAUCAAGGAUUAAAACCAAAAGCAGCUUGUUGUUCACCUCCGGCAAUUCCAGGCAUGAAAAUUCCGAGGAUCAGUACUUUGGAACUUUUCCAAAAGCCUCAACUCCUUGUCUAUCGAGCAAAACCCUUUACUUAGCACCCAUUUACGAUGAUGCCAGGCCCCAUAUGAACUAAAAUUUUGUCUCAGCGCAUUCUCUAGCUACAUUAUUUAUCAAAUUCAUUGAAUUAACAGAAAACUUUCUUUAAGGAAUUAACUAAAAUCUAAAGCUUAAUAGGCAAUUGAUUUAAUCAUAUGACUGGCUCAUCAAAGUAGAACAGAAAAUUUUAGUACUUGGAAUUUUCAGCGCCCAAACAAGAAGUAGAGAGAAAUGCACCACUCGAAGUUCUUCCUCGAGAAUUGACUUGACCGAGUUAUGAUCAGUGUCGAACUAAGUCAGAUUGUGUUCAACGGCGAGCCUUCUAUGGUUCCAACCGGUGUAAAUUCAUGAUUGAUCUCGAGAAGCUUCGUGCUAAGCUCUACAGCUUCCUUAGUAUAAAUUAUAUGGCGGUGAUUGGAGAGGAGUUGAGGCUGGAGAGCACGUAGCUUUUCUGCUUUGGCCGCCGAAGCUGCUUCGUCUCCUAGUUUGGGGGCUUUACGAGGACGGUCAUGCAUUUUCUCACCAGAUCAGCCAACGGUCGGUGUUGGAGACGGAGAGACAGUUUACUAAGCUCUCACAGUCCUAAGUGGGUUACUUUUUCUUAGUUGCUUGUUUGGAAGGGCAACGUGGC
rnacentral:misc_RNA from 1 species